rnacentral:lncRNA from 1 species
UUUAUUGGGGUAAGGUUAAUUAAGAGAAUGGUAAAGUGUGGAAUAAUCUUAUAACAAGAUUAAUAGCACUAUUAUGGUGAUUUUCUUUCAGAAUUCUCUCCAGACUUGAUCUCUUGGGAGACUAAGAUCACCACCUCUGAUGCAUUCUUCAAUAAGAGAAAAGAAAUAUGGCAAGGAGGGAGCCUCUGAAAUUGCUGAGAAUAGAUUCUUCCUAACUAGAGAAACCAUGAAAUCAGCUCCAUCUUUGGAUCCCUGGUAUUUUCCUGUGGAAUUUAAUACCUGGCAUUGUGAACCAUGGUGGGCCUGCUGUUGACGCCCAGAGGAAUCAGGGAGCCUAACUAUG